rnacentral:rRNA from 1 species
UAGGGAAUCUUCGGCAAUGGACGAAAGUCUGACCGAGCAACGCCGCGUGAGUGAAGAAGGUUUUCGGAUCGUAAAACUCUGUUGGUAGAGAAGAACGUUGGUGAGAGUGGAAAGCUCAUCAAGUGACGGUAACUAACCAGAAAGUCACGGCUAACUACGUGUCAG